UCUAUCCAAUGAGCGCUGCGCCUCCUCGCCCAGGGCCCGCCCCCUCCACCUCCUACCUAGGUCUAGCUCCGCCUGCAGCCGGCCGGGGGCAGCUCCGCCCAGUCCCGGCUCAGUGCCUUGUCCAGGGCUCCGAUUUGCCCAGCGGGGGCGACAUCGAGUAGAGUAUAAGUUCCCCAGGAUGGAGAAAUCUGUUGUCUCAGCUUCCAGGGAGCAGGUGGAAUGGUCAUUGACAUCCGAUUGACUAAGGUCCCUGCUCUGUCCCAAAUCUAAAUCACAAUCCACCUGUGCAGCCACCCCAGCUCUCACUCCAGGACCUCACCAGACUCUUGAAGUUCACAUUGCAGUGCUGGAUCUCCCCAUCUGCAGGGAGAGCAGCUGGAGGAGUCUCUGGUGACUACUAUGUGCUGAACAUUUUCUCUGUCAGGUGCUGAUGGGGUGAUUCACACACGAAAUCCUUCUAGAAUAUUCCAGAAGCCUUCCUCCUGCGUGACACAUUGCCCGCUGAGCCGCACUGCUGACACUUCCAUAAUAUGGGGACUGUGCUCUUUGCUCAGAAGAGCAAAGUCUCAAGGGACCUCAACUUGGAUCUCACCUGACUCCAGCACCUUAGCCCCGGGCUGUCCUGGUUCUACUUGAGUUUGUGUGUGGAUUUGCAGUGCCCCGUGUGCGGGAGCCUCAGGGGACUGUGGUAGUGUGUGUGGAGGGGUGCUUCCCCCAUUGGACGCAGAGAUUCUGGGGGUUAAAGCUUGAGCACUUGCUCCCCUCAGCCACAUUUGCUCUGGAUGCUCCUCCAGUCCAGAGAGACCAAUCACCCCUCCCACCUCCCGGCUGGGACCAUCCUCAGGGUCCCCCCCACCCUUGCCCUCCUCCCCUAGAUGCCCAGAGCCCUGGGGGAAGAGGGGAAAGAUUGAGGAUGAGGGUGGAGGUGCAGGGAGGAGGGAGAGGGGAGGGGAUGGGUUAAGAAGGAGUG